rnacentral:rRNA from 1 species
GGUAAUGCCGGAUGUUCCACAUGAUCGCAUGUGAUUGUGGGAAAGAUUCUAUCGGCGUGGGAUGGGGUCGCGUCCUAUCAGCUUGUUGGUGAGGUAACGGCUCACCAAGGCUUCGACGGGUAGCCGGCCUGAGAGGGCGACCGGCCACAUUGGGACUGAGAUACGGCCCAGACUCCUACGGGAGGCAGCAGUGGGGAAUAUUGCACAAUGGGCGCAAGCCUGAUGCAGCGACGCCGCGUGAGGGAUGGAGGCCUUCGGGUUGUAAACCUCUUUUGUUUGGGAGCAAGCCUUCGGGUGAGUGUACCUUUCGAAUAAGCGCCGGCUAACUACGUGCCAGCAGCCGCGGUAAUACGUAGGGCGCAAGCGUUAUCCGGAUUUAUUGGGCGUAAAGGGCUCGUAGGCGGCUCGUCGCGUCCGGUGUGAAAGUCCAUCGCUUAACGGUGGAUCUGCGCCGGGUACGGGCGGGCUGGAGUGCGGUAGGGGAGACUGGAAUUCCCGGUGUAACGGUGGAAUGUGUAGAUAUCGGGAAGAACA